CCUACGGGUGGCAGCAGUGGGGAAUAUUGGACAAUGGGGGCAACCCUGAUCCAGCCAUGUCGCGUGUGUGAAGAAGGCCCUCGGGUUGUAAAGCACUUUCAGUGAGGAAGAACGCCUGGUGGUUAAUACCCAUCAGGAAAGACAUCACUCACAGAAGAAGCACCGGCUAACUCCGUGCCAGCAGCCGCGGUAAUACGGAGGGUGCGAGCGUUAAUCGGAAUUACUGGGCGUAAAGCGCGCGUAGGUGGCUUGAUAAGCCGGUUGUGAAAGCCCCGGGCUCAACCUGGGAACGGCAUCCGGAACUGUCAAGCUAGAGUGCAGGAGAGGAAGGUAGAAUUCCCGGUGUAGCGGUGAAAUGCGUAGAGAUCGGGAGGAAUACCAGUGGCGAAGGCGGCCUUCUGGACUGACACUGACACUGAGGUGCGAAAGCGUGGGUAGCAAACAGGAUUAGAUACCCUUGUAGUC
rnacentral:rRNA from 1 species